rnacentral:rRNA from 1 species
ACUACGGGUGGCAGCAGUGAGGAAUAUUGGUCAAUGGGAGAGAUCCUGAACCAGCCAAGCCGCGUGAGCGAAGACGGCUCUAUGGGUGGUAAACCUCUUUUGUCGGAGAACAAAACCUGGGACGUGUCCCGGACUGCGUGUCUCCGAAGAAAAAGCAUCGGCUAAUUCCGGGCCAGCAGCCGCGGUAAUACGGAGGAUGAGAGCGUUAUCCGGGUUUAUUGGGUUUAACGGGUGCGUAGGCGGUCCGUUAAGUCAGCGGUAAAAUUGCGGGGCACAACCCGGUCGAGCAGUUGAAACUGGCAGACUUGAGUUGGCGAGUGGUAAGCGGAAUGCGUGGUGUAGCGGUGAAAUGCAGAGAUAUUGGGCGGAACUCCGAUUGCGAAGGCAGCGUACCGG